UGUAACGAAGUCAAGGUGAUUGGGAAGGAAGACCGAGGUGCUUUCAAGGGGAGUUUUCUGUUACAGCAAGCCCUUAUAACAGACUAAGGAUCAUGAGAAGAAUGCUGGGACCUAACAUCAAAAUUGCUUCUGAGAAGAAGCAGAGGCAGAGUCACUGGCAGGGGUUGAUAACCUUAAGUCUGAGCUUGUUCCAUUCACAUUCCCUGUCAAGGAUGGAAGACACACGGUUGAGAUUAAAAACGUUCCCAUGUGCAGCACCCUGGGAUAAGAUUGAAAAGUGCACCGACUAACCUGGCACGAAGGGAGGAUACCCGAGAAUGAAAUCUGGGUAAAGCUGUGUGGAGACAAGGGAGCUUCAAGAUGAGUUUUCAAAUAUGCAAUGUUGAUCACCCCAACUCCCCUGUCAACACCUGUGCUUUUUGCGUGUUUGAGGCGCCUGAUAACAUGCGAUUUCAGGAUCAGGUGGACAACCUUCACAAGAGAACAUGGAGGUACAACAACAUGUACAAUGGGUUAAACACAAUAUAAUGUAUACGUCUUUCUAAGUGGCGACUAUGAGUUCUUGUGCUAUAUAUUUGGGCUGUCAGGUGCUUCAGGUAACUUAGUACAAAAAAUUGCUUGUGGUGCUUGGUGACAUCGUGACAUCGGACCAACUGGAACCCUCCCGCCAAGAUUCCGAGCAGAAGUACUGAUAGUAUCGUACAAGAUCACCAGAUUUCGAAAAAUGUGAAAAAUUUCAACAACUGCAUCAGAGAUUCCUUUGAAUCAAUUGCUGGAAGAUGAGUGCCAUGUGCUGGACGUGGCUGUUCGAGAUGAGGAGGAUAGUUGCGACAAGGGGGGCCCCAGUUACUCCAACUACGUUACUAGAGCGAGGACCCUCAAAGAUGAGAUAGACAGGCCUUACAUGCUAUAGAGAUAAUUUGUGAACUAGGGCAAAUGAACAGAUCGAUCAACUCAAUGAUCUAAUAGCCAUAUUCGUACUGUUUGGUGAGGAUGAGGAGGAGGAUGAGGAGGAGCUGCAAGCACUCCGCUCAGAGAGUUAGAAGAAAUUGCUACGAAAGUAAAUAAACUGGUGAGUGUUAAUUGGAACACUAUGUCAGCAAUACAUAAGACACUUCAAGCAAGAGGACGGUCCCUUUGUAAAAGCCCUAGAUAUCCUAUUAUGGAGGAACGUUUGUGGGAAACCACGUCCACCUAACUCUCAAGCCGGUGACUCUCUGCAAUGCGGUGUUUACUGUCCUGCUAUCAUGCAGCGAGCUGAGAGGAUACACAGAAAAUAUUUUGUGGUGUUUGCUAUUCUAUAACAAGCCAUACAUAACUGACGAAGAAAUUGCUCUUCUAGGUAAUCUAUAAUUACUUUUGUAAAUGUAUAUUGACUAACUUUGUCUACCUUCAUGAGCUUUUAUCGGGAGCGAUUUCCCGAUGCAAGUGUGAUUCCCAUGCUAUGUGGUUGACUGGCUUAACGAGUGGCGAGUGGGAUUGGGACCUAUUUCAACAAUAUAAAGGCAUCAUUCCGAAACAUCCCGAAUGGUGUAGACAGACUUCGUACAUGUUGCCAUUGCAUGCAGACGUCCCCCUCAAAAGAGGCCAAAUUAUGAAUUUGUUUAUACAUAUAUAUGUACAUACGUAUGUAUGUACGUACUUAUCAGACUAGUCAUG